GGUGCAGGCUCUCAGUCAUCAAGCGUCCCUCAUGGACGUGAGGCAUCAACGGCUCGUCUUCAGCGAUUUUGUCCAUCCCUUCCUCUCGAGAGAUGACCUAACAGAUCCUGCCUGUCUUACCAAAACUACGAGCAGCGCUGACUGGCUGGAGAAGAACUUUGGCAACUUCUCCGUCUACGCGAGCUUGGAGGAUUUGAAGACGCUGAAUGCAAAUUUCUCCAGCUUUGAUUCGUUGGGGCUGCUGAGCCC